UACGUAGGGGGCGAGCGUUGUCCGGAUUUAUUGGGCGUAAAGAGCUCGUAGGCGGUCCGUCACGUCGGAUGUGAAAUUCCAGGGCUCAACCCUGGACCUGCAUUCGAUACGGGCGGACUAGAGUUCGGUAGGGGAGACUGGAAUUCCUGGUGUAGCGGUGAAAUGCGCAGAUAUCAGGAGGAACACCGGUGGCGAAGGCGGGUCUCUGGGCCGAUACUGACGCUGAGGAGCGAAAGCGUGGGGAGCGAACAGG
rnacentral:rRNA from 1 species